UACAGGGGAUGCAAGCGUUAUCCGGAAUGCUUGGGCGUAAAGCGUCUGUAGGUGGCUUUUUAAGUCCGCCGUCAAAUCCCAGGGCUCAACUCUGGACAGGCGGUGGAAACUACCAAGCUGGAGUACGGUAGGGGCAGAGGGAAUUUCCGGUGUAGCGGUGAAAUGCGUAGAUAUCGGAAGGAACACCAGUGGCGAAAGCGGCUUCCUGGUCCGACACCGACGUUCAGGCACGAAAGCGUGGGGAGCAAACAGG
rnacentral:rRNA from 1 species